rnacentral:rRNA from 1 species
UACGUAGGUGGCAAGCGUUGUCCGGAUUUACUGGGCGUAAAGGGCGUGCAGGCUGGUCUGUUAAGUGCAGGGUGAAAGCUCCCGGCUCAACUGGGAGAGGUCCUUGCAUACUGGCGGACUUGAGGGGGGUAGAGGAAAGUGGAAUUCCCGGUGUAGUGGUGAUAUGCGUAGAUAUCGGGAGGAACACCUGUGGCGAAGGCGGCUUUCUGGGCCCUACCUGACGCUGAGACGCGAAAGCGUGGGGAGCGAACAGG